rnacentral:rRNA from 1 species
UACAGAGGGGGCAAGCGUUGUUCGGAAUUACUGGGCGUAAAGGGCGCGUAGGCGGCCUUCUAAGUCGAACGUGAAAUCCCCGGGCUCAACCCGGGAACUGCGUCCGAGACUGGAAGGCUCGAAUCCGGGAGAGGGAUGUGGAAUUCCAGGUGUAGCGGUGAAAUGCGUAGAUAUCUGGAGGAACAUCGGUGGCGAAGGCGGCAUCCUGGACCGGUAUUGACGCUGAGGCGCGAAAGCGUGGGGAGCAAACAGG